rnacentral:rRNA from 1 species
AUGAACUUGUUGCUCGGGAUGGUUAAGGGGAGAAGGUCCAAGAGACGGAGGUGCUCGGCGGCCAACCUCACUGAUGACCUCGUCGUUGAGAUCCUCUCUCGCCUCCCUGCCAGAUCAGUCUGCCGCUUCAAGUGCGUGUCCACGACAUGGCGGGACCUCAUCUCGCACCCUGUUCACCGUAUGAAGCUUCCCCAGACCCUGGCCGGCUUCUUCACAAAGCACGAUAGUGAAACUGUAUUGUGGUCAGUCCCCCAUUUCACCAAUGUCUCUGGCACAGGCCUCCCGUUUGUCUCCCCUUCACUUGACUUCCUGCCAGUCCACAAACGCAUUUUUCUCUUGGACAGCUGCAACGGCCUUCUCCUCUGCAGCUGUUGUGCUGCCGGGGAAUUGGAUAUGAUAUAUUACCAUCAGUUUGUGUGUAAUCCUACCACAAAGGAGUGGGUUGCACUACCGGACCACAACCAGGCUGAAAAAUGGCGGUGUUCAUGUCUGGGUUUUAAUCCAACCAUGGCACCCCACUUCUACGUGUUUGAGUUCUUCAAAGACUUUGGGCCCCUAGCCCCCUCGGUCGUUGGAGUGGAAGUAUAUUCAUCUGAAACGGGAGAACGGGUUCGUAAAGAGCAUGAACUGGAUAAUGAUUUUAGCCUUCCCGAUAGGUUGCCAGGUGUCUUUUUCAACGACUGUCUGCAUUAUCUCACCCACAAGCCUUCUAUAGUUGUGGUGGACACCGAGGGGGAAGUGUGCCGAAACAUACCUGUCCCUGUCCCUGGUGAGCAGUGGUUUGGUUUCAUUCAGCUGUCCCAGGGACGUUUGCAUUACGCCAAUUUUGAGGCAGACCAUGAAGACGAGGUGGUUCGACUGGUGGUUUAUGUUCUUGAGGACUAUGACAAGCAAGAAUGGACAUUGAAGCAUACUGCUGAAGCCUCACAUGUAGUUGGAUCACAUGGUUUAUAUGAACCUGGAUGGGUAAGUUAUAUAAAUCUUGCAGAAAAGUUUGAGUGGGUUGCAAUUCAUCCAGACUGUAACAUGAUCUUUUACACUGUUGAGUGGGAUAAAACAUUGAUGUCCUAUGAUAUAGAUCGUCGGCAAGUCCAAGAGAUCUGCACUCUUUGA